GAAGAAUGCUGUUUCAGUCCCCUAAUUGUUACAACUGGUCUUCUUUCAGCUCCCUACAUACCAAGUGUCUCCUGGCAUAUUGAGUGCCAAAGGCAUCUGAGUUGUCUGCAUAGGAAUGGCAGCAUCAAGGUAACUAGAGUUCUUUGGGAGGAGAGACGCUCUUGCCUAUGCUCUUAUCCUUCCUCUCUCUGCCUGGGAACCAGAUUGCAUGAGAGAAAUGCACCGCCACAGCUGCUCUUCCUGCUCUGCACCGCUUGUCACCCUCUUCCUUAGCACCAGUUCUGCCCUUGGGACUUACAUAAAAACAAACCACUUCUCCGGCUCCCGGUGCUACCAUCAAGUUUUUUCAAGUACUGUGAAAUAUGCCCAGCUGUGGGCACAGACUGCAAGCAAAUCUCUGAAAACCACUGAAAAUGUAGGUGUUGCUAAAGCCGG